rnacentral:tRNA from 1 species
GCGGGCGGUUGCGGGUGCGGCCCGACCACCGCCUCGUGGUCGCCGAGGAAACGCGCACCCCGGUUCAACGCCUGGCGCUCGCCC